rnacentral:rRNA from 1 species
UACGGAGGGUGCAAGCGUUAUCCGGAUUUACUGGGCGUAAAGCGCGUUCAGGCGGUUUGGCAAGUCGGGCAUGAAAUCUCUCGGCUCAACCGGGAGAGGUUGUCCGAUACUGCUGGACUUGAGGGCAGUAGAGGGUGGUGGAAUUCCGGGUGUAGUGGUGAAAUGCGUAGAUAUCCGGAGGAACACCAGUGGCGAAAGCGGCCACCUGGACUGUACCUGACGCUCAAACGCGAAAGCUAGGGGAGCGAACGGG